rnacentral:sRNA from 1 species
AGCAGCCGCGGUAAUUCCAGCUCCAAUAGCGUAUAUUAAAGUUGUUGCAGUUAAAAAGCUCGUAGUUGAAUUUCGGGAUCAAUUGAUUGGUCAUGCCUUGGUAUGAACUGGUCAUAUUGGUUCUCACCUUCUAAUGAACCAUAAUGUCAUUCACUUGAUGUUAUGGGGAAUUAGGACUGUUACCUUGAAAAAUUAGAGUGUUUAAAGCAGGCUUACGCUUGAAUACAUUAGCAUGGAAUAAUGAAAUAGGACAUCGCAUUCUAUUUUGUUGGUUUCUAGGAUCGAUGUAAUGAUUAAUAGGGAUAGUUGGGGGCAUUAGUAUUCAAUUGUCAGAGGUGAAAUUCUUGGAUUUAUUGAAGACUAACUACUGCGAAAGCAUUUGCCAAGGAUGUUUUCAUUAAUCAAGAACGAAAGUUAGGGGAUCGAAGACGAUCAGAUACCGUCGUAGUCUUAACCAUAAACUAUGCCGACUAGGGAUCGGAUGAUGUUAAUUUUAAAUGUA